rnacentral:antisense_RNA from 1 species
GCUGCCUUGCACUUAGGGAAGGUUCACAUGCCUCAAGGAUCUCUCUCUCAGAUUUCUUGACUUUCCCUCAGUCUUCAGUAUAGUCCUCUUCUGUGCCUGAUGAAGACCUGUGGUAAAGUGCUGGCAGAGAGGAAGCUAAAUCACGUAAAAGUUAAGAAACAGCUCAGCGUUUCACAGCUAAGCUGCUGGCUUCCCCUUGAAGGAAUAGGAGUAGACCUGCUAAACUAUCACAUGAGAGAAGAGGCCCAAAAGCUUGCAUACUGCAGUCAAGCUGGCCUUUAAAGAGAUGGACCUAGAAGAUGCUGAGCCAGAUGUACUCAGUUACUUCUCCCAAAUUCAUCAAUUAGCACUGCUUCUUGCUGCUGCCAUAUGAAGAAGGACGUGUUUGCUUCCCCUUCCUCCAUGAUUGUAAGUUUCCUGAGGCCUCGCCAGCCAUGCUGAACUGAAUACAACAUGUUUAAGACCACAGGACAUCUGCAUAGGCUGUAAAUUUCGUUAAAUGAUGGAUGCAAAGAUGGAAGACAGAUGGAGAGAGGAAAAGACAGAAUCAGAUACUGGAUGAGUUAGUACUGCUGCCUGUGCUUCAGAGCUGUCUUGUUACCACAAGGCCGGCAAGCAUCAAUGUCCCCACAUCCCCCUCUGCCUCCCCCUGAAAUGUACCGAUUUAUAUGAAAAUUAAGAUUACAAAUUAAAGCCUGGCUAUCCUGGAGUUUUCCAGUUCAUCAGCCAUCCAAUAAAAAUGAUGUCAAGCCUG